GACAGAGGGUGCAAACGUUGUUCGGAAUUACUGGGCGUAAAGCGCGUGUAGGCGUCGGUGCAAGUCGGAUGUGAAAGCCCUGGGCUCAACCCAGGAAGUGCAUUCGAUACUGCAUCGCUGGAGUCCCGGAGAGGAUGGUGGAACUCUCGGUGUAGAGGUGAAAUUCGUAGAUAUCGAGAAGAACACCGGUGGCGAAGGCGGCCAUCUGGACGGUGACUGACGCUGAGACGCGAAAGCGUGGGGAGCAAACAGG
rnacentral:rRNA from 1 species